rnacentral:ncRNA from 1 species
AAAGUUUUAUUUUAGCUUAGAAAUUAAAUUUUAUUUUUAAUUAUAUAUAAGUUAUUUUUUAGAAGAAUAUUAUAGUAAUUAUAUUUAUAUAUUAAGGAAAUUUAGAUUUAGAAAUAAUAAUUAGUAUUAACAAAAUUUGCGCCAGCAGUUGCGGUUAUUAAAAUGAUAUAAUUUAAUUUUAUUAGUAAAAAUUAGUUUUAUUAUGAAUAAUUUUUAUAUAGGAUUUUUUAAGUGAAAUUUUAAAUUUUAAGGAUAAAUUUUAAUUUUAAAAUGAAGUUUAUAAGUUUAAUUAGUAAACUAGGAUUAGAUACCCUAUUAUUUUAAAUGUAAUUAAAAAUACUAAAUUAGUAUUAGUUAUGUUCUUAAAAAUUAAAAAUUUUGGCGGUAUUUUAGUCUUUUCAGAGGAACCUGUUCUGUAAAUGAUAAUCCACGAUUUAAUUUAUUUAUAUUAUUAAUUUGUAUAUCAUCGUAAUUAAGUAUUUUACUAAAAUUAUAAAUAUUUAAGAUUUUAAAUUAAAAAAUUAGUCAGAUCAAGGUGCAAUUUAUAUAUAAGUAGAAAUGGGUUACAAUAAAUAUAUUUUUGGAAAAUUUUUUUUAUUAAAGGUUUGAAUUUGGAUUUGAAAGUAAUUUUAAUAAAUUAAUUAAUUUGAUUUUGGCUCUAAAAUAUGUACAUAUCGCCCGUCGCUUUCAUUUAAUAUGAAAUAAGUCGUAACAAAGUAGAUUUACUGGAAAGUAAAUCUAGAUUAU